rnacentral:rRNA from 1 species
ACACCGGCGGCCCGAGUGGUGAUCGUGAUUAUUGGGUCUAAAGGGUCCGUAGCCGGUUUGGUCAGUCCUCCGGGAAAUCUGAUAGCUCAACUAUUAGGCUUUCGGGGGAUACUGCCAGACUUGGAACCGGGAGAGGUAAGAGGUACUACAGGGGUAGGAGUGAAAUCUUGUAAUCCCUGUGGGACCACCUGUGGCGAAGGCGUCGUACCAGAACGGUUUCGACGGUGAGGGACGAAAGCUGGGGGCACGAACCGGAUUAGAUACCCGGGUAGUCCCAGCCGUAAACGAUGCUCGCUAGGUGUCAGGCAUGGCGCGACCGUGUCUGGUGCCGCAGGGAAGCCGUGAAGCGAGCCACCUGGGAAGUACGGCCGCAAGGCUGAAACUUAAAGGAAUUGGCGGGG